AGAGUUUGAUCAUGGCUCAGAACGAACGCUGGCGGCGCGUCUUAACCAUGCAAGUCGAGCGGUAGUGUGCCUUCGGGUACAUGAGAGCGGCGGACUGGUGAGUAACACGUGGAUGACGCACCCUCCGGACUGGGACAGCCUGUAGAAAUAGAGGGUGAUACCGGGUACGCUCUUUUGCGUGGGAGCAGAAGAGGAAAGGAGCUAACGCUCUGCCGGGGGAGCGGUCUGCGGCCCAUCAGCAUGACGGCGGGGUAACGGCCCACCGAAGCAAUGACGGGUAUCCGGCCUGAGAGGGCGGACGGACACAUUGGGACUGAGAUACGGCCCAGACUCCUACGGGAGGCAGCAGGUAAGAAUAUUCCGCAAUGGGGGAAACCCUGACGGAGCGACGCCGCGUGCACGAAGAAGGCCGGAAGGUUGUAAAGUGCUUUGGCAGUUGGAGAAGAAGGUAUAGUGAGAGCUAUGCUGGUGACUGGAGGCUGAAAACAAGCGCCGGCUAAUUACGUGCCAGCAGCCGCGGUAACACGUAAGGCGCGAGCGUUGUUCGGAAUCAUUGGGCGUAAAGGGCGCGCAGGCGGGGGUGCAAGCCUGGCGAGAAAUACCGUAGCUCAACUACGGUGCUAUGCCGGGAACUGCACCGCUUGAGUCGCCGAGGGGCAUCCGGAAUUCCGCGUGUAGGGGUGAAAUCUGUAGAUAUGCGGAAGAACACCAGUGGCGAAGGCGGGAUGCUGGCGGACGACUGACGCUGAGGCGCGAAGGUGCGGGGAGCAAACAGGAUUAGAUACCCUGGUAGUCCGCACAGUCAACGAUGUGCACUGGGCGUACGGGCAGGAGCCUGUGUGCCGAAGCAAACGCGAUAAGUGCACCGCCUGGGGAGUAUGCCCGCAAGGGUGAAACUCAAAGGAAUUGACGGGGGCCCGCACAAGCGGUGGAGCAUGUGGUUUAAUUCGAUGUACGCGAGGAACCUUACCUGGGCUUGACAUGUGCGGGGAAGGCGGUGAGAGCCGCCUGCACAGCAAUGUGCCCGCAUGCAGGUGCUGCAUGGCUGUCGUCAGCUCGUGCCGUGAGGUGUUGGGUUAAGUCCCGCAACGAGCGCAACCCUUGCCGCCAGUUGCCAACAGGUAGAGCUGGGCACUCUGGCGGGACUGCCCUUGACAAGGGGGAGGAAGGCGGGGACGACGUCAAGUCAUCAUGGCCCUUAUGUCCAGGGCAACACACGUGCUACAAUGGUCGCUACAGAGCGGAGCGAAGUCGCGAGGCGGAGCAGAACGCGUAAAAACGACCAAAGUACGGAUCGGAGUCUGAAACUCGACUCCGUGAAGCUGGAAUCGCUAGUAACCGCGCAUCAGCACGGCGCGGCGAAUACGUUCCCGGGCCUUGUACACACCGCCCGUCACACCAUCCGAGUCGGGGGCACCCGAAGCCGGCAGUCCAACCGCAAGGAGGGCGCUGUCUAAGGUGCGCCUGGCGAGGGGGGUGAAGUCGUAACAAGGUAGCCGUA
rnacentral:rRNA from 1 species